rnacentral:rRNA from 1 species
AUUGAACGCUAGCGGGAUGCCUUACACAUGCAAGUCGAGCGGAGCGGCGAACGGGUGAGUAAUGUAUCGGAACGUGCCUGGUAGCGGGGGAUAACUACGGGAAAGGGGCGCUAAUACCGCAUACUAUUAGAGCGGCCGAGAUCGGAUUAGCUAGUUGGUGGGGUAACGGCCUACCAAGGCGACGAUCCGUAGCUGGUCUGAGAGGACGACCAGUCACACUGGAACUGAGACACGGCCCAGACUCUUACGGGAGGCAGCAGUGGGGAAUAUUGGACAAUGGGCGAAAGCCUGAUCCAGCCAUGCCGCGUGUGUGAAGAAGGUCUUCGGAUUGUAAAGCACUUUAGGUUGGGAAGCGUUACCUACAGAAUAAGCACCGGCUAACUUCGUGCCAGCAGCCGCGGUAAUUC